UGGGGAAUUUUGGACAAUGGGCGAAAGCCUGAUCCAGCCAUGCCGCGUGAGUGAAGAAGGCCUUCGGGUUGUAAAGCUCUUUUAGUCGGAAAGAAAGAGUUGCAAUGAAUAAUUGUGAUUUAUGCCGGUACCGACAGAAAAAGCACCGGCUAACUACGUGCGAGAAGCCGCGGUAAUACGUAGGGUGCGAGAGUUAAUCGGAUUUACUGGGCGUAAAGGGUGCGCAGGCGGUCUUGCAAGUCAGAUGUGAAAGCCCCGGGCUUAACCUGGGAAUUGCGUUGGAAACUACAAGGCUAGAGUGCAGCAGAGGGGAGUGGAAUUCCAUGUGUAGCAGUGAAAUGCGUAGAGAUGUGGAAGAACGCCGAUGGCGAAGGCAGCUCCCUGGGUUGACACUGACGCUCAUGCACGAAAGCGUGGGGAGCAAACA
rnacentral:rRNA from 1 species